rnacentral:misc_RNA from 1 species
CCAACCGGUAGAGAUGGACACAUGCUC